GAGCGAGUGAAACAGUGCAGUGACUGAAGAGAAUUCUCUCCCGUUUCCCAUGAUUUAUCACAGGCGAGGUCACGGCAGGUUAAAAUACUUGAACGCCGCGAUAGCAUACGUCCUGGCAUGGUUUUAUGAGUAGUCAUUCAUAACAUAUUUGUCGCAAAGCAUAAUUUCCAAGAUAGAACCCUGAUCCACAUGCAGUUUUUUUUUUCACAGCAACAACACAGGCGCAGUAACUCCUUCGUGGAGACUGCUUCCAUUUUCACAAUGUCCAGCUCCACGCUAGAGCUUCGGGGAAAGGGACCGAGGAAGUGACUGGUUCGCCAACUGAAACUACAAAUCCUAGAGCUGCAACUAUAUUUUAUAAAUGGCCCUCGUUUGGUUCCUGCAUAACAAACAAUGUCUUCUCAUUGAUGGGGGCUGUUUCAUGCGCCUGCCUUUUUGGAGAAAGAAAACAACUUCUAGUCUCAGGCUUGUAUGAAUCCAGCACUGUUUUUCACAACUUGUUUUCGCCUCAGCGACUUGACAUGGCUCCCUAUCCAUCGCCGGUCCCCACGCUCCACGGUAACGAGAUUUUAAAAACUGUCCAUUUGGCUCCUUCCUGAGGUUUUACUCAUUUUGAAACUUUGCCACGCUGGCUGGCAUGUUUCACAUUUGCUUAUCUCUGAGCUUACUCCCAAGAGCUGCUGAACUUUCCCUUCCAUGUCACUAAGCUGGGACAGAGUGAAGACGGAGAGGAAAGAGUUACUGUCUCACAAGCUGUGACUUUGUCUGUCCAGAGUGGCCCUUGGAUGCAGCUCAUUAUUUGUGGAAAUAGUGUGUGCCACGGGCAAAAAUAACUUUUUAAAAAAAGCACAUCUCUGUACCCUCCUGAAGUCAUCUCAAAAUGAAGUCAAGAUUUCUCAUGAAACGGAGAGAGCUUUAUCAUGGCCCGAGUGGGUCCUUGAGUACUUGUCCCCGCCACAUUGUCUGCUCUGAGCAACCUGAGGGUCCAGACCAAGCUAAAAGAGGCUUCAUGAUGAGCCCUGGGACAGACAAGACUGGGAGCCUUGGUGAAAGGGAGGAGACCCUGUGUCCCCGGUUUUGCCAAGUCAGCCUGGCCCAUCCUCUGACGGCUAAAUCAACACUCUUUAUCCUGUGGCGACUGAUAACGCAUCCACCGCUUCCUGCCAAGGAGGAAAUCCUGAUGGGACAUUAUCAGGGGCGAGACAUCAUCCGUCAGCCGCCGUCACAGGAACCCAGGGCUCAUCCAGACCCCACGCCAAUCUUUCCGCCUUUAUCUGCGCUCCCCAAAUGCCUCAGCCUGUUUGCUGAUAGAGGAAUCCGGCAUCUCCUUUUCUCAAGGACCCGAAAAAGAUUCUUCGAUAGCAAGAAACUAAGCGUGCCUUGCUCAGACCCCAAAGUGCCUUUCCAAAGAAUGGAUGGAAGAGGAACAGAUGCUGCCCUGAAGCUGCCCAUCGGACACGCAAAAGAAAAAGAGAAAACAGACAAGGUGACACCAAGAAGUCGGGAUGAGAAGGUGAAGAGACCCGGGAAAUCAAUGGCGACCUUGGCCAAGGCGAGGACAUGGAGUUCGGAAGGGGGGAUGGGGGGGUCCUGAGGCUGCAUAGACGCGCUGCCCUCUGCUCUCCACCUGUGCCCUGCGACCCAUCAGCUGAGCUCAGGCUGCCCCAGAAGGCGGUCCUUAAGGGGUCAGAGUGCAUGCUGACCACCCCGAGCUGUGCUUUGGACUCAGACUUACAGACACAGUCCCUCCCCGCCGGCUGAAGGCCAAGGACCACCGCUGUGGAAGGCAGAGAAGUGACCUCAGGGAGGUGCAGUCUUGGGGAGCCCUGUCCCCUUGGGUGGGAGGGGCUGGUGAUGUGACCGAUGACACUGCCAUGAGCAGGGGACACUCUGUGGCUAAAGUCAAGAGGUUUUUUUGUUUUUUGGGAUAGAGUUGCUUUAUCAUGUUGUGUUAGUUUCAGGUGUACAGCAAAGUGAAUCAGUUCUACAUAUACUUAUAUCCAUUCUUUUUCAGAGUCUUUUCCCAAAGAGGUUAUGACAGAAUAUUCCAGAGAGGAGUUCUCACUGUGGUACAGGGGAUUAAGACUCUGACUGCAGCAACCCCGGUCACUGUGGGGGCACGGUUUCAAUUGCCAGCCCAGCACAGUGGGUUAAAGGAUCCAGCAUUGCCCAGCUUCAGCAUGGGUUACAGCUGUGGCUCGGAUUCAGUCACAGGAACUUCCAUAUGCCGGGAGUGUGGAUUUAUAAUGCUGUGCCGAUUUCGGCCAUGCAGCAUAGUGACCUAGAAAAACAAUAUAUAAUAUUCUUUAUAUUUAUAUUAUAUAUUCUUUUUCUCAUACUGUUAUUUCACUUCAAUGAAAGUGAAAUAACAUAGAAUAACAUAACAUAGAAUAUAUAUAGAGAGAAUAUAUACAUUCUUUUUCUCAUACUGUUAUUUCACUUCAAUGAAAGUGAAAUAACAUAGAAUAUAUAUAGAUAGAAUAUAUACAUUCUUUUUCUCAUACUGUUAUUUCUCUUCAAUGCCCAAAACCCUUCUGGGACGUGAGCGUUUCUAACCCCGUUUUCCAUGAAGACGCAGAGCGUCUCGAGGGACUUUAAUUACUCCAGGUCCCAGGGGAGCUGAGAUUCAGAGGAUGACCUCCCCGAUCCUGGAAGCUCAUGUCUCUCCCCUCCAUCCGUCACUUCUCAGGCUCCCUCUAGGCCUGGGAGUAGCGAGGACCAGCAGAAGUGCUGCCAAUCAGAUUGCAGGCCGGAGGCUGGGGGCCGCUGGGCUGCAUUAGCCUGCCGCUCCCAAAGCCCAGCAGAAUCAGAGAUCCAUUUCCCUAGGGAAGAGCCUUUCCAAGUUUCAAAAAAAAAAAAAAAAAAAAAAGCCUGCCUAGAGAGGGGGAAGGAUGAGUCCCUAUACAAGCAUAUUUAUAUCCAUAGAUAUUCCACGCCAUAGGGGGUAUGAAUCCCAGAGGGCAGAUGUCACCAGCUACAUGCUCCGAUGGGAAAAUUGAGGAGGGCUAGGUUACCAGCAUUUCCCAAACGCACUCAAAAAAGAAACUAUGCUCCCUUACACACACACACACACACAGGCUCUCCUCUCAGGCCUGCAGAGGGAAAACAGUCCACGCCUGUCCAGCUCAUCCAGGUCAGGCAGACCCUUCCAGUUAGCGCUGGCUUCAGCUGUUUUCAUCACAACUUUCACUGAAACAAUUCUCUGCCAAGUUGUCGUGUGCCUCUCCUGAGCCCUCAAGAGCAAAAUCUGCUUGGCUUUUUUUUUUUUUUUUUUUUUAAUAUUGCUCAGAAUCAGUUUUUUCCUCCACUCAGAUAAUUCAUUAGCAUUCCUUAUCCCAGGCCUCUCUUCCCUGCAGGGCACCUCCCAGCCACCGGCAUUCCAGAGCUGGCCGGGCUUCUUCCAGGCUCCUGGGCUCUUCCCAAACCUCCCUCCACUUCUUUUCAUUGCAGGGCAGGAGCCUGGGGCUCACCAGAGAGCACAACAUGUGGGUAGAGUAAGAGAUCCCUCUGUGCCCCCUGAUGAUACAAUGCCCCUUCCCCACUGUCUGAACCAGAAAUCUGUAUGUUACAUCACACAGCAAGAGGUGUUAAGGCUGCACGUGGAAUUAAGCUCGAUAAUCAGCCAACCUUGCAACAGAGUUUAUCCAGGUGGGCCCAAUAGGAUCACAAGCAUCCUUCAACGUGGGAGAGGGAGGCCGAAGGGAGAGGGCAGAGCCAUAUCACGUGAUAAGAUCUUGCCCCACCUGCUGGCUUUGAAGAUGAAUAGGGAGCCAAGAGACAAAAACCAUGGGCGCCCUCUAAAGCUGGAAAGGGCAAGGAAACAACUCGCCCCUAAAACUUCCACAGGGGAAAGUAGCCCUGAUAAUACUGUGAUGUUAGCCCCGGGAGAUCCGCUUUGGACUUCUGACCUCCACAACCGCCAAGAUAAUAAAUGAGCAUCAUUUGAAACCA
rnacentral:lncRNA from 1 species